ensembl:snRNA U6 U6 spliceosomal RNA
UUGCUUGUAGCAGCGCUUAUGCUAAAACUGGAACAAUAACACAGACUAGAUGACCCCUGUGCAAGGGUGACAUGCUUGAUUGUGCAGCAUUCCUGAUUUGU